CGUUAAUGCGACAAUGACAGGCGCGUCAAUUGAAGUGCAUUGCCAGUCGUCAGUAAACCGGCAAACCAACCAGUAACCAUCAAACCGUUGCAAGAUCUGGCGGAAAAAAACCCCGGUAAGAGACAGCGAUUAGGUAACACAUCGAACCCGAACGAAGCGUUCGCAAUUUACAUCGGCAGACAAACAUACCGGGGCCUUUUCGGAGGACAUAAAACUGUCCGAAACCAUAUCUCCGUCAGGGUUGCUUCGCAACAACCUCACAAGCAAAACGUUGCAGUUUUAUCAUCCGUGCAUCCUUAAUCGGGCGGGUUUGAUCCUCCCCGUGUGCUGAUGGAGCUCGAGACCUAUGGCAGCUGGAGGAGGAUCACGAUGCAAGGAGAGGUACCCAAUAAAAUGCAAAUUUCACUCAACCACCAAGCCUGGACGGGGCAGACGACAGCAGCAACAGCAGCAGUCGUCGUAGCAGCAGCAAUCGAAACUUGCUCGACGGCUUAUUGGAUUAGCAUAAAAAAUCAGCUGUAUUUAUUAAACGGCCCCGAGAGUCCGAGAGCCGUUUUGCUGUAUCUCGUAACGUCGCCGUGUUGGGGUUUUUUUCCUUCUUCGUUUGAUGGCUUCGUGUGUCCAGGUGCGAAUCAGUUAUCCGAUCGAUUGAAUACGCAAGGACCUAGCCCCCAAACGGGGCGAGUUUUGGUGUGAAAUGUUCGGUGCGCAGGAAAAAAAAACCAGCAUUGCUAUAUCUUUAUGGUGCAAGCGAGCCCGCGCGUGCAAAAAAA